ensembl:lncRNA
AACCCCCCCCCCGGCAACCCUGAGGGAGAAGCGGCUUAGAAAAUGGAUGGAUGGAUGAAUAAUUAGACAUAUCAUUCUGAUAGGUGAUCAAAUGAAAAGCUCUCGGUGAGGGGACUCAGACUUUUGGACCCCGCUCAAUGUAGCAUUUAUUUUCUUCUAGUUAUCAAAUUAUGUCUCCACAUCAGUGGCUGGAUCUACUGAGUGAAUCUGAUGUCUGAUGGAGUCUGCUAAUAGGUGAUUGGUCUAUCCAGAGAGCCUGAUUUGCAUAGACCGACUGCAGUACAGUAAGGCAGGUAUGUUCUCCCUGCGCUCUGCUGGUGUCUGAUGUAAACAGUGUGUUGCUGUGGGCUCCCGCAGGUUUCAGAUGCAGAUGCUUUCUCUGGCACACAGGUCUGUGAGGAGGAGAGCCGGAAGUUUCACGGCUUAAUUGAUGCCUUUCCACGUAACCAUGACAACUCGAGGAGACAGGCCGUCACUAUGGAGAUCGGAACUGAUGUCAGAGUCUCUGUCACACAUGGCUUUAGUGAGGAGGGGGGCGUUUACUGACGGGCUGAAGACUAAUAUUUUUACAGUGGAGGGAGGAGUGAAUGGGGGCUGCUGAAGGAAGCGUCCCGACUGAGCUCCACAGGGGGGCUGUGCUUAGGAAAUCUAAAC